UUCUUAGAUGACUGAGGUAAUAAGUGUUAGAUUUUUAAUCUAAAAACGGCGACAUCGCCUCUAAGAA
rnacentral:tRNA from 1 species